rnacentral:rRNA from 1 species
GACUAUGGCCAACCCACCCUGAGCGGGCCCGAUCUCGUCUGAUCUCGGAAGCUAAGCAGGGUCGGGCCUGGUUAGUACUUAGAUGGGAGACCACUUAGGAAUACCAGGUGCUGUAGGCA